rnacentral:pre_miRNA from 1 species
CAUAAUAGAAACAAGGAGCAGCAUGACACCAAGGGCAACUGUUAAGAUGGUGCUGCCCUUGGUGUCAUGCAGCUCCUUGUUUCUACUCAUG